rnacentral:rRNA from 1 species
UACCAGCACCCCGAGUGGUCGGGACGAUUAUUGGGCCUAAAGCAUCCGUAGCCGGUUCUACAAGUCUUCCGUUAAAUCCACCUGCUUAACAGAUGGGCUGCGGAAGAUACUAUAGAGCUAGGAGGCGGGAGAGGCAAGCGGUACUCGAUGGGUAGGGGUAAAAUCCGUUGAUCCAUUGAAGACCACCAGUGGCGAAGGCGGCUCACUGGUCCGGUACUGACGCUGAGGUGCGAAAGGCGUGGGGAGCAAACAGGG